AAUCUAAUGAAAACGGAAAGGAGAAAACACAUGUUGAAUUUCAGCUGCCUAUAAUAAGCAGCUGGACUUCCUGCUUUAAAUCUGAGGAUAUGAGGUGCUCCUGACCCAAAGUGAUAUCACCUUAAACUUGUGAGCAUGUGGUGGCAGAACAGCUCACACCUCCCAUUAGGUGAGAGGAGUCAUUUUACUGGAAAGUAAGCAACCAUUAGAUGAGAUGCAGCUUCUUGCCCAAGAGAAACG